AUUGAACGCUGGCGGCAGGCCUAACACAUGCAAGUCGAACGGUGACAGGAAGCAGCUUGCUGCUUUGCUGACGAGUGGCGGACGGGUGAGUAAUGUCUGGGAAACUGCCCGAUGGAGGGGGAUAACUACUGGAAACGGUAGCUAAUACCGCAUAACGUCGCAAGACCAAAGAGGGGGACCUUAGGGCCUCUUGCCAUCGGAUGUGCCCAGAUGGGAUUAGCUAGUAGGUGGGGUAACGGCUCACCUAGGCGACGAUCCCUAGCUGGUCUGAGAGGAUGACCAGCCACACUGGAACUGAGACACGGUCCAGACUCCUACGGGAGGCAGCAGUGGGGAAUAUUGCACAAUGGGCGCAAGCCUGAUGCAGCCAUGCCGCGUGUAUGAAGAAGGCCUUCGGGUUGUAAAGUACUUUCAGCGGGGAGGAAGGGAGUAAAGUUAAUACCUUUGCUCAUUGACGUUACCCGCAGAAGAAGCACCGGCUAACUCCGUG
rnacentral:rRNA from 1 species